UACGGAGGGGGCUAGCGUUGUUCGGAAUUACUGGGCGUAAAGCGCACGUAGGCGGCUUUGUAAGUUAGAGGUGAAAGCCCGGGGCUCAACUCCGGAAUUGCCUUUAAGACUGCAUCGCUAGAAUUGUGGAGAGGUAAGUGGAAUUACGAGUGUAGAGGUGAAAUUCGUAGAUAUUCGGAAGAACACCAGUGGCGAAGGCGACUUACUGGACACAUAUUGACGCUGAGGUGCGAAAGCGUGGGGAUCAAACAGG
rnacentral:rRNA from 1 species